rnacentral:rRNA from 1 species
UCUUCGGAUUGUAAAGCACUUUCGACCGGGACGAAACCCUCAAGCUUAAUACGCUUGAGUCUGACGGUACCGGGAAGGAAGCCACGGCUAACUCUGUGCCAGCAGCCGCGGAAAUACAGAGGCGGCAAGCGUUGUUCGGAAUUAUUGGGCGUAAAGAGCACGUAGGCGGCUGUGUAAGUCGGUUGUGAAAGCCUUCCGCUUAACCGAGGAAGUGCGCCCGAAACUGCAGAGCUCGAGUGCGGGAGG